UUCAGAUCCCAUUUUCUGUCAUUUAAUAACCUUGUGGAUGCACAAAGAAAACCCUCAGGGUGCCUAGAGAUGGUGGUGCAGAGAAGAGGGGUGAAUGUUCACCUCACAGUCGGUGCACAGGAGGCUUUCACAGCUGACACAUCAACAAUCCCCUGUGUGAAGCUCUGUAUUCAUAAGGAGAGCAUUGUUUGGUGCUGGGAGCUGGGUAAGGGGAUCUAAGAGCCCAGCACAGUGGGAUUUAGUGCUCGAGCUCAUCAGAAACCUCACCAAAUUCUUUGGAUUAGGCUCUUUUAUUUAAUGGGGAUAGAGAAGCCUAUUGACAAAAAUGAAAGUUCAUUUCAGCUCUGUUCCUAUUGGAUUUAGGUGGGAGGUGGGUGGCUGAUUGUUUUAUGUGCCUUUUAUAGAGAUCCACAUGGGGAAUGUGAUGAGCCAUUCCUAAGCACAGGGCAAGCUAUAUGCUGGCUACUGAAGGUUCCAGCUCUGACUAAUUAGCUACACAGGCCUAAUCUUGAACAAUUCAUUGAAUCUUUUGACUUGAAUAGAGGAAAGGAAUUAAUCCAUGUUAGACUGAAAGAUCUGAAGCACCUGGACCAUUAGGUCCACUUAACUCUGAGUUUAGCAACACACUUCAGUAAGACUUUCAACCUUGGGCUUCUAUGCCAAGAUUAACUCUUGGGCUGUAAUUUCCACAUUCUAAUUUCUGACACGGGGUUUUGACAUAGGUAUAAUGCCCAAUUUUUUAAAGUAGCUAAGUUUAAUUCAAUUCUCAAAAAUCUCAUAAAAAUGAUAAUUGUAUUCAUAAACUACAAAUGGUUUGGCUUUUGAUCUCUAUAUGAAAACUCCUGCCCCUGCUUAUGUUCAACAAUAGUUAAGCAAUGCCCAGAGGCACAUAUUAAUACAGGGAGAGUUCCCACACUAAUAGAUGUGAGGAAAUUUGCUAUAGUACACUGCAGCUGAGAACCACAAGGUUUCUCUAAACUUAGAAGUUGAUCUGGAGGUUUUAUUGACCUGGGAUAGGAACAGGGUAGAACUGAGCUAAUAUUAACUAGGGGUUUUUCAGGAGUUACUCUGCCCCCAGUGUACCAAAUAACACCAGCUCUCUACAGAUUAUUUCUGAUCUGCACAUGCAAGUCAUUUAUUUGGAUGACUUUUGGGCUGUCUCUUUUGGGAUGUGUGAUUUGAUGUCACAGCCUAAUAAGGCUAUGACAAGAAAGAUCUCACAGUUUUACCUGCCUUGUGCACAGACAGACUAAGAGUGCUUCUGGCUGCAAAUCCUCCCCUCCCCUGCAUGUGGCAGCUCUGUGUGAACAUGAGGGAAGGUAGCAUGUGAUUUCCAGAUCACUAUUUCCUGUUCCCUCUGGAGAAAAGUUUUCAGUCAACAUACAGAAUUUAAUAUUUUCUUGUGUUAACUGCACCUUAGCCCUCCCAAGCAUUACUGUAAAUGAUCCUCGAUGUUCUGAAGUGCAGGUUUUCUUCAAAAAAGGGUAAUUAAAAAAAGUAUUUUUAGUAACUCCAUUUGUGUAUCAGUAUUAAAGCAAUUUUUAUAUUGGCUUUGUGCUACCUAUUUUAACUUCUUGUUUCCUAGCCAAGACAAUUUUCCAGACCAAUGACAAUAUUCUGGACAGGAGACUUCCAUUCUGGAAAAGUUUUCCUCAGUAAAUGUGCCACUGAAAAGAAUCAUAACUAUUAUUUUUACCUCACACCAAAAUAAAGCCUAUUAUGGGGCUCUUUCUACACUAUUUUCUAGUUCAAUAUUGGCCACAGGAAUAUUAAUUUAAUUUAAUAAUCUAAAUAAUUUUUUCUCAAACUUUGUAUAGUAGUAAGUGUUGCACCCUGCUAAAGUUGGUUAAUUCUAUGUGUUUAUUCAAGCUGGGAACAUUUUUUUUUCUGUGUUAACUCUGUGCUUAAUACACCCCUGAGAUCAUACAACAAUAUCUCCAAAAUAAAGAGGUUUAAGAAACUA